GAUGAAGAACGCAGCGAAAUGCGAUACGUAGUGUGAAUUGCAGAAUUCAGUGAAUCAUCGAAUCUUUGAACGCACAUUGCACCUCUCGGUAUUCCGGGAGGUAUGCCUGUUCGAGCGUCAUUUGUACCCUCAAGCUCUGCUUGGUGUUGGGUGUUUGUUCCGCCUCUGUGUGUGAUCUCGCCUCAAAACAAUUGGCAGCCGGCGUACUUGUUUCGGAGCGCAGCACAUUUUGCGAUCCAGAUCAACGUACAGCGGCAUCCAAGAAGCCUUAUUUAACGCUCUUGACCUCGGAUCAGGUAGGGAUACCCGCUGAACUUAAGCAUAUCAAUAAGCGGAGGA
rnacentral:misc_RNA from 1 species